GUAUAGUGUAGCCACCUUAAUCAGCGAUGUUAACUAGAUCUUCUAAGAUCUAGAGAUCUUGCUGCAGCUUCUCCAUCAGCACUUGCCACUUCCCCAGUGCUAUAACAUAAAACUUUUAUGUUAUUGAAGAUGGCUUUUUUCCUUAAACCUCAUGAACCAACCUCUGCUAGCUUCUAACUUUUCUAUUCUUUUUUUUUUUUUCCAUUUGAACAACUUGACAUUUUAGGGUUGUUAAUAGCCUAACUUUAAUAUGUUGUGUCUCAAGGAAUACGGAGGCCUGAGGAGAGGGAGACCGGAGAAUCACUGGUCAGUGGAGCAGUCAGAACACACACAACGUUUAUUAAGUUCAUCGGUAUGUGUGGGUGUGGUUCGUGGUGCCCCAGAACCAGAACUGUUGUAAUUACAACAGUAACAUCAAAGAUCACUGAGCACAGGUCACUAUAACAAAUAUAAUCC
rnacentral:lncRNA from 10 species